rnacentral:rRNA from 1 species
UACGUAGGAGGCAAGCGUUGUCCGGAAUUAUUGGGCGUAAAGAGCUCGUAGGCGGCCAGGUGCGUCUGCUGUGAAAUCCCGGGGCUCAACCCCGGGCGUGCAGUGGAUACGGGCUGGCUAGAGGCAGGCAGGGGAGAACGGAAUUCCCGGUGUAGCGGUGAAAUGCGCAGAUAUCGGGAGGAACACCGGUGGCGAAGGCGGUUCUCUGGGCCUGUACUGACGCUGAGGAGCGAAAGCGUGGGGAGCGAACAGG